AGAGUUUGAUCCUGGCUCAGGACGAACGCUGGCGGCGUGCCUAAUACAUGCAAGUCGAACGCGCCUAGCGAUAGGCGAGUGGCGGACGGGUGAGUAACGCGUGGGAACCUGCCCUUGAGUGCGGGACAACCGAGGGAAACUUCGGCUAAUACCGCAUGCGCCCCCGAGAGGGGGGAAAGAUUUAUCGCUCGAGGAGGGGC
rnacentral:rRNA from 1 species